UCAACCAUGGAUGGGCCUCUGGGCCGCAGAGAGCCUCUGAGCAGUGGGCACAGAGUGGCCAGGCCCUGCAGAGAGCUAUUGGUGCAUGGAUUCGUGUGCAGGGCUACUAGUUAAGGUCUUCGCUCUUUCCAGACUACAUUGGGCCUCCACCAGCUUUCCAACCAACCUGGAUGAAUUGUUUUUCCUGGUGACCAGUUGCUCCCUCUCUAGAUGCCACUGCGCACAUGCUGCGGCCGUUGAUAUGAGAGGGAUGUGGUCAGCCACCGUGCGAGGAAGGAUUGAUGUCUUUCCCAUUAGCCUCGGGAGUCUUCAUAUCUUCCCCGCUCCCAAGUUU